AACGCACAUUGCGCCUCCUGUAAAUGGGAGGCAUGCCUGUCUGAGCGUCAUUUAAAACCAUAACCUAUGGGUUGUAUUGGGACUCGCUCAAGGGCGUCUCCUCAAAGUCAUCGUGUCUAAAAGCGUACGAGCUCCAUUAGGACGGAACGUUUGAAGACCCUAAACUCUCUGACUUGACCUCAGAUCAGGUAGGACUACCGCCUGAACUUAA
rnacentral:misc_RNA from 1 species